rnacentral:rRNA from 1 species
AGCGGCGGACGGGUGAGUAACGCGUGAGCAAUCUGUCCCAGACAGGGGGAUAACAGAUGGAAACAUCUGCUAAUACCGCAUAAGACCACGGAUGGGCAUCCAUAUGAGGUAAAAGAUUUAUCGGUUUGGGGUGAGCUCGCGUCCGAUUAGGUAGUUGGUGAGGUAACGGCCCACCAAGCCAGCGAUCGGUAGCCGACCUGAGAGGGUGAUCGGCCACAUUGGAACUGAGACACGGCCCAGACUCCUACGGGAGGCAGCAGUGGGGAAUAUUGCACAAUGGGGGAAACCCUGAUGCAGCGACGCCGCGUGGAGGAAGAAGGUCUUCGGAUUGUAAACUCCUGUUGUUGGGGAAGAUAAUGACGGUACCCAACAAGGAAGUGACGGCUAACUACGUGCCAGCAGCCGCGGUAAAACGUAGGUCACAAGCGUUGUCCGGAAUUACUGGGUGUAAAGGGAGCGCAGGCGGGAAGACAAGUUGGAAGUGAAAUCUAUGGGCUCAACCCAUAAACUGCUUUCAAUACUGUUUUUCUUGAGUAGUGCAGAGGUAGGCGGAAUUCCCGGUGUAGCGGUGGAAUGCGUAGAUAUCGGGAGGAACACCAGUGGCGAAGGCGGCCUACUGGGCACCAACUGACGCUGAGGCUCGAAAGUGUGGGUAGCAAACAGGAUUAGAUACCCUGGUAGUCCACACCGUAAACGAUGAUUACUAGGUGUUGGAGGAUUGACCCCUUCAGUGCCGCAGUUAACACAAUAAGUAAUCCACCUGGGGAGUACGACCGCAAGGUUGAAACUCAAAGGAAUUGACGGGGGCCCGCACAAGCAGUGGAGUAUGUGGUUUAAUUCGACGCAACGCGAAGAACCUUACCAAGUCUUGACAUCCCUUGACAGGCAUAGAAAUAUGUUUUCUCUUCGGAGCAAGGAGACAGGUGGUGCAUGGUUGUCGUCAGCUCGUGUCGUGAGAUGUUGGGUUAAGUCCCGCAACGAGCGCAACCCCUAUCCCCAGUAGCCAGCGGUUCGGCCGGGCACUCUGAGGAGACUGCCAGGGAUAACCUGGAGGAAGGCGGGGAUGACGUCAAAUCAUCAUGCCCCUUAUGAUUUGGGCUACACACGUGCUACAAUGGCGUAAACAAAGGGAAGCGAGCCUGCGAAGGUAAGCAAAUCCCAAAAAUAACGUCCCAGUUCGGACUGCAGUCUGCAACUCGACUGCACGAAGCUGGAAUCGCUAGUAAUCGCGGAUCAGAAUGCCGCGGUGAAUACGUUCCCGGGUCUUGUACUCACCGCCCGUCA